UACAGAGGGUGCGAGCGUUAAUCGGAAUUACUGGGCGUAAAGCGUGCGUAGGCGGUUAUUUAAGUCGGGUGUGAAAGCCCCGGGCUCAACCUGGGAAUUGCAUUCGAGACUGAAUAGCUAGGGUACGGUAGAGGGAAGCGGAAUUUCCGGUGUAGCGGUGAAAUGCGUAGAUAUCGGGAGGAACACCGGUGGCGAAGGCGGGUCUCUGGGCCGAUACUGACGCUGAGGAGCGAAAGCGUGGGGAGCGAACAGG
rnacentral:rRNA from 1 species